rnacentral:rRNA from 1 species
CCUACGGGGGGCAACAGUGGGGAAUAUUGGGCAAUGGGCGCAAGCCUGACCCAGCAACGCCGCGUGAAGGAAGAAGGCUUUCGGGUUGUAAACUUCUUUUGUCAGGGAAGAAGCAAGUGACGGUACCUGACGAAUAAGCCACGGCUAACUACGGGCCAGCAGCCGCGGUAAUACGUAGGGGGCAAGCGUUAUCCGGAUUUACGGGGUGGAAAGGGCGUGUAGGCGGGACUGCAAGUCAGAUGUGAAAACCACGGGCUCAACCUGUGGCCUGCAUUUGAAACUGGCGUUCUUGAGUGCUGGAGAGGCAGGCGGAAUUCCUAGUGUAGCGGUGAAAUGCGUAGAUAUUAGGAGGAACACCAGUGGCGAAGGCGGUCUGCUGGACAGCAACUGACGCUGAGGCGCGAAAGCGUGGGGAGCAAACAGGAUUAGAUACCCCUGUAGUC